rnacentral:rRNA from 1 species
AUUUAACGCUGGCGGCUGGCCUAACACAUGCAAGUCGAGCGAGCGGCGGACGGGUGAGUAAUGUAUGGGGACUGCCCGAUAGAGGGGGAUAACUACUGGAAAAGGUGGCUCAUACCGCAUACUAUCGGAUAACCCAUAUGGGAUUAGCUAGUAGGUGGGGUAAAGGCUCACCUAGGCGACGCUCUCUAGCUGGUCUGAGAGGAUGACCGGCCGCACUGGGACUGAGAUACGGCCCAGAAUCCUACGGAGGAAGCAGUGGGGAAGAUUGCACAAUGGGCGCAAGCCUGAUGCAGCCAUGCCACGUGUAUGAAGAAGGCCUUAGGGUUGUAAAGUACUUUCAGCGGGGAGGCGUUACCCGCAGAAGAAGCACCGGCUAACUCCGUGCCAGCAGCCGCGGUAAUAC